UCUAAUCAAAUUAGGAAAAGAAAGGGAGAAAAUUCACGAGUCUGGAUAAGACUCACCCUGCCCUCUUUUUUACAAUUUGGGAGUAAUUAAUUGGACAUUAAAACAUACAGCCACAUUGGGUUAUAAUUACAUUCUCUGCAACUUUCGCAGACAAACAAGGAAAUAAUUA